AGUUUAUUGUUUUUUAUAAUAAAUUUUUUCUGCCCGGUGAAUAUUUUAACGGCCGCGGUACUCUGACCGUGCAAAGGUAGCAUAAUCAUUUGUUCUUUAAUUGGGGACUAGAAUGAAAGAAAGGUUGAAAGCAAAGCUGUCUCUUUUAAGAGCAAGAAAUUGCUGUUGUUGUGAAGAAGCAAUAGUCUGUCAAAAAGACAAGAAGACCCUAUUAAGCUGUACUUUUUCCAUUGAAUUUUUUCUUUUCAGUAAAAAAAUUCAAUGGAAAGGGUUUAGUUGGGGUGACUGAAGAGGAAUAAACUUUUAUCCUCUUUUGUUUAGAAAACUUUAGGUUUAAUUUUGAUCCAAUAUUUUUUGAUUGUAAGAAUUAGUUACUAUAGGGAUAACAGCGUAAUUUUUUCAUAAAGUUCUUAUUGAAGAAAAAGAUUGCGACCUCGAUGUUGACUUAUUGUUUCCUUGAAAGGUGUAGUAGCUAAAAAGGUUAGUCUGUUCGACUAUUAAAACAAU
rnacentral:rRNA from 1 species